rnacentral:lncRNA from 1 species
CUGUGGUUCCUGUCUCUCCUUUCUUCUUUCUUUCUUUCGUUACAGUCAUUAUUUGAGUCUGUAGUAUUGAGCAUUUGAAGUGACUGUGUCAGCAUAACGUCCAGGAAGAUACGAAUGCAAGUGAAGGAGUUUUGUUUUUAUAAUAUUUCUACUUUUGAAGACACGCAACUUUUCUUAGAACAGGGAAAAAACAGUAGUAAAUGGAAGGAGUUCAAUAUCCACAACAUACAGACCCCAUUCAUUCAAAGACAUUUACCUAUAUCAUUCAAUAACAUCCAUUUCAUCCAUGAUGUCUAACUUUUGCCUUUUACUACAGAAGAUUGUUUGUCCAAUAGUUUCAAUGUCUUCUCCACUUUUCACUUUAUUUUUCAUUCAGUCACUUCCAUCAUCAAAUUUUUUCAAUCUUUUAGCUGAUUUUUCAGUUUUCUCCCCCUGCUUCAGCCUGCUGCGUUCAGCGCUAUAAAAAAAUUAACUCCUAUUCAGUGUUAAGACUGGUUCAUAUCAUUGUAGCAAUACAUUGUUUUUAUAAUGAUGAGUUUUUUUGCCUGAUCACCCAUCUACUUCCAGCCACCCGGCAGGAAACCGCCAGCUAAACCGUCUCACCCGCUGCAGCCUCAGCUGAUCAUGACGUAAUCCCCGCAACGCACACCUGAACCGGACCGAACCGGACCGCAACAGCGCAAGCGCGCACGCAACAACGCCGGAUCUUCUCGCCAGGAUUGAGCAGUAGGGCAGAGGCUGUCACGACGCUCGAGGUAUCAUUGAACUCUAAGUUUGGUGUCUGUGAUGGGCAGCUGCGGAUCCAACCAUCCUGCCUGUAUCCAGUCCCUGGCCCUACCAUCCUGCCUGUGCUGUGUUGUUGCUUGUUGUUGCUUCACGUUGUUGCUGUGCUUUCUCUCUCUCUCUCCACUCACCUCAACCGGUCGAGGCAGAUGGCCGCCCACAUCCAGUCUGGUUCUGCUAGGGGUUUCUUUCUCGUUAGAGAGGUAGUUUUUCCUCUCUACUGUUGCUGUCAAAUUAAAUGCUUGCUGUAUGUGAGAUUUGUUGGGUUUAGUUGUGUGAGGUCUUAAACCUUACCCUGUAAAGUGCCUUGAAAUAACUUUGUUGUGAUUUGGUGCUAUAUAAAUAAAAUUGAAUUGAAUUAAAAUGGAGAUACGCA